GAGUUUGAUCCUGGUUCAGGACGAACGCUGGCGGCGUGCCUAAUACAUGCAAGUCGAGCGAGCCGAACUAAUUGAUUACCUUCGGGUAUGAAGUUAGGGAAGCGAGCGGCGGAUGGGUGAGUAACACGUGGGUAACCUACCCUAUAGUCUGGGAUACCACUUGGAAACAGGUGCUAAUACCGGAUAAAAGGAGAGAUCACAUGAUUUCUUUUUGAAAGGCGGCGUAAGCUGUCGCUAAAGGAUGGACCUGCGGUGCAUUAGCUAGUUGGUAAGGUAACGGCUUACCAAGGCAACGAUGCAUAGCCGAGUUGAGAGACUGAUCGGCCACAUUGGGACUGAGACACGGCCCAAACUCCUACGGGAGGCAGCAGUAGGGAAUCUUCCACAAUGGACGCAAGUCUGAUGGAGCAACGCCGCGUGAGUGAAGAAGGUUUUCGGAUCGUAAAGCUCUGUUGUUGGUGAAGAAAGAUAGUGAGAGUAACUGCUUUCAUUUAUUUGCCGGUAAUCAACCAGAAAGUCACGGCUAACUACGUGCCAGCAGCCGCGGUAAUACGUAGGUGGCAAGCGUUGUCCGGAUUUAUUGGGCGUAAAGCGAGCGCAGGCGGAAAGAUAAGUCAGAUGUGAAAGCCCUCGGCUUAACCGAGGAAUAGCAUCGGA
rnacentral:rRNA from 1 species